GACCCCGUGAUCGGUCUGCGUCAGGGUAUACAUGGGCGUCACCACCAGCCAGCUCGACGAGCUCGCCGCUGAGACCGCCGCCCUGCUCACCGCCUCCCAGCCAGACUAUGCCUCCAUGAAUAUUAGCGAGACUGGCUAAAUUCUGAACAUGUUCCAUGUGAGAGAAAUAGCAUGUUGAUUUCAUCUUGAAAUAAUCAUAGCUGAGGGACGAGCUUCGUAACUAAGGGUCAUGUGUAGAGCUGAAGGAAGAAGUUGCGAGGCUUGGAACUCUCCUUGUGAAGGGCUCAGGGAUAGUAGUGAGGACAAUGCCUCUUUAGUUGUAAUUGUAAUACUCCUGAUCUGCAAGUAAACACUCCUGUGAUACUAAAUGUUGGUUGUUAGUACAGAGGUGGUGACAUUAGUUGGUUCUCUGGUAUUGAUUUCAUGAUUUGUGGUUAAUACAUGAUGUAAUACAAUCCA